GAUUAACGCUAGCGGCAGGCCUAAUACAUGCAAGUCGAACGGCAGCACGGGUAGCAAUACCUGGUGGCGAGUGGCGCACGGGUGCGUAACGCGUAUGCAAUCUACCUCUGACUGGGGAAUAGCCUUCCGAAAGGAAGAUUAAUACCGCAUAAUAUAAUAGAGAGACAUCUCCCUGUUAUCAAAACUCCGGUGGUUAGAGAUGAGCAUGCGUGACAUUAGCUAGUUGGUAAGGUAACGGCUUACCAAGGCUACGAUGUCUAGGGGGUCUGAGAGGAUGAUCCCCCACACUGGUACGUG
rnacentral:rRNA from 1 species